GUGAGAGGAGAUUACUUACAGGAGGCAAAGAAAGGGGACAGAGAGAGAAUUUUUGGGGGUGGGGUGGGCGGGGAGGGGGGAACAUGUUACGUAAUGUUGCUAAUCCAUUGUAAAACUAGUGGUCGAUGGUCCUCUGUAACCAUAUUAAGCUGGAGGAUGACUUACUCUUUGAAUCUCACGACCCAAAUACCCGUAGAAGCUCUUGCAUGCUCGAAGAUCAUAUCACAGCGUUCCUCAUUUUCCAAAUCUCCCAAGAUGCGAUGAGAAAUAUUUCGAUAAACAACAACGGCUGUGAUCUGCUUUUAGUUACCAUGAUACGCUCGUGGAUGUCUGAAUGACUGACCAUGAAGUUCAGUUUGCUCCGACAGCUACAAAACGACUAGAAUUCCUUAGUCGUUUUGGUGGCAUGGUGGUUUUUGGAAACACAGGAAUGGACGUGCGUUCGAAGGUUCUUCUCCAAACACCCGUUCUACCUUACAUAACAUACAUGACGCAACCAAAUUGUGGCGCAUGGCUGGCACUAAGGUAGUUUUUGGUUCGCCGUUUUGUAACGUAUUCUGAUUACAGAGGAAAAGAGAUAGUACUGUUACUUGUGUUUGGUUGGAUGUGUCCUGGGUUAGCGUGUAAUGCGUUGGCUAGUUCAAUCUCGCCAUGGUACCAGUAGUGGUCGUUUACUCUCAGCUGUUGGCGAGGUUAGUGUGCUCGUGACCUUUCUGGGAACGAUGUGUGAGUUUUUGCUGUCUUUCAGUGUGUGUUUUUUUUCUUUUUGAUUUUUUUCAUUGUACUUGUCCUCAAACAGCU
rnacentral:lncRNA from 1 species